ensembl:ncRNA lncRNA:CR45522 long non-coding RNA:CR45522
CAAGGGACGUUGCUCAAAUGUGUAAUAACACCACCCACUUAUGGCACCCGUCUCCGCCACCCGCAAAAGACGUCAUUCGAUCGUUGCGGUGAAAACAACAUGUCUGCGGGAAGCACCUGAGAGUUCUUCGCCAUGGAGCCGAGUGUCACUGAUUGUUUUCACAAGAGCACAAGAUGUUAUGACAGAAAUAAUGUAUGCCGGAUAUAUAAAGUCGUGAUUUCCUCACCUCAGUUAGGUAUAUCUAAACAUGUUUUCUUUUACUAAUUCCAAUAUUAGCUUGCAUGCUUCAUGAUAGUUCGUUCAUACGGACAUCCAAACGGACAUAAGGACAAAAGAAACGACACAGCUAGUGACGAAUAUAUAUCCAUUAUAGAGUCACUUUCAACUUGUAACGUUAUAGCAAAGUGCUUCUCAAAUUGGCUCAAAUGCAAAUAAAGUUAUAAGGAAUAAUAUUUACACAUACAGAAAGUCCGGCGCACGUGUCGCUAUGACCCUCUUCGCCAAACCAAAUGUUAGCCCAACUGCAACAUAGACAAAAGCCAUUAGAUCAAGAGCGAAACCCACUAGCCAAGACAAAGAUAUUUACCCAGCUGCCAGGAACACCCUUAGCCAAACGAUUUGCCAGUUUAGCCAGCAAAAUUUUGGCCUAAACUAUUGUACUUUUGGGUUAACAAAUUAACAAACAAAUAAACAAAUUGCAAUGAUUUAGAAUAACUUCUUUUUUUCUUGAUUUGAAAAAAGAAAGUAUAAACCAAGUAUUGUGUUAAGCUGCAUUGCGAAAUAAUUUUUUUUAGUUGAAUACGAAAGAAAUAUGCCAGCAAAAUCAUCCAAAAAUACACCAGUUUAUAUUUUUGUAUAUAUAUAUAUAUAAUUUUCUGACAUAUUUGAUAUGCUGACAUUUUAUGUAUUUCUAGUAGGGUUUUUUUCUUAUUCAAACAGGCCUGUUCCAUUUUCCCCAAAUACGUUUUCAAAAUCAUUACUUUUAACCGAUUACAAUGCGUACUUUUGAAAAACUUAGGAAAAGCUACAAAUUGCAAUGUAGAUCAGAAAAUUAAAAAAUUUAAAAAAAAAACCGAAAAUAAAGAAAUUCUUGAUUUUAUUGCUAACAAAUAAUGUUUUUUUACUCGGAAUCUGGAACAGUCCUGAUGAUUCAACUUUUGCCAAAUUGAUAAUUGCAUUUAUGAAUCAAAAUGAGUCGACAAUUGGCCUUUGGAUUCAGAAUUCAUUCCUGCUUAUAAGGCAUUGUUUUCCCGCCAUUAUUUCGUGU